AGAAGCAGGCUCCAUGCACCGGGAGCCCGACGUGGGAUUCAACCCCGGGUCUCCAGGAUCGCGCCCUGGGCCAAAGGCAGGCGCCAAACCGCUGUGCCACCCAGGGAUCCCCUAUUCGGUGAACUUAGUACAGACAAAAUGAACUCUGCAAUCAGGUGUGAAUUCAGAAGAAGUAACAGGAACAACAAACUUGGCACAUUUAUAAAGGAACCAUUAUUUUGGGCUGGUGAGUCUUUGCCUUGGAUCUCUCCGUGACAUAUAAGGCAGACCUCUACUUACAUGAUCCGGAACCACCUUCGUGAUGAACCUGCAACAGAAGCAGCACGAGCUCUUACCUAUUAUCCUGGCACUGAUAUUCUUCUGCAACUCCUUGAAGAGAGGACUCAACUGCUUCCUUACUGAUUUCAAGGUGUCUUCCAGAAAGUCUGUGACACGGGACCACGUGUACAGCUUUGAUUCGCUGAAGUAGAUGGAACAUGGAGCCCUUUCCGGUCGUCCCAGCCAAUCACUGAGAACUGACAUUAUUUUCUCCUUUUAUUAUUGUGGGCUGGAGCUCAGAUGAAAGAAUUCUUCAUGUUUAUGGUACAACAAAAACUUAUUUGUAUUUAUAGUAGGCAUGUUAUCCUUUCUCAUUAGAAGACUAAGAUAAACACCCAUUGUCUGCUUUCCAAGAAAACUAUGAAGAAGAGAGGGAAAAGGAAGAUGAACAGAAGGAAGAGAAGACAGAGGGGUAAAGGAAGAAGGCUGCUCCAUCCAGAACAGUGUUUGCACUGAGCUCCACCCCGCAAGGCUGCCAUCCUCUCUGCACGAGGCCCAUUGAGCUAUCACUUAGUAAUGUGACUAUGUAACUACAAUAAACAAGUGGCUUCUGCUA